GGCGAGGCCGAAAGGCGUAGUCGAUGGGAAACGGGUUAAUAUUCCCGUACUUGGUGUUACUGCGAAGGGGGGACGGAGAAGGCUAUGUUGGCCGGGCGACGGUUGUCCCGGUUUAAGCGUGUAGGUGUGUGUUCCAGGUAAAUCCGGUUCACUUUAACACUGAGGCGUGAUGACGAGGCACUACGGUGCUGAAGCAACAAAUGCCCUGCUUCCAGGAAAAGCCUCUAAGCAUCAGGUAACAUCAAAUCGUACCCCAAACCGACACAGGUGGUCAGGUAGAGAAUACCAAGGCGCUUGAGAGAACUCGGGUGAAGGAACUAGGCAAAAUGGUGCCGUAACUUCGGGAGAAGGCACGCUGACACGUAGGUGAAGUGAUUUACUCAUGGAGCUGAAGUCAGUCGAAGAUACCAGCUGGCUGCAACUGUUUAUUAAAAACACAGCACUGUGCAAACACGAAAGUGGACGUAUACGGUGUGACGCCUGCCCGGUGCCGGAAGGUUAAUUGAUGGGGUCAGCGCAAGCGAAGCUCCUGAUCGAAGCCCCGGUAAACGGCGGCCGUAACUAUAACGGUCCUAAGGUAGCGAAAUUCCUUGUCGGGUAAGUUCCGACCUGCACGAAUGGCGUAAUGAUGGCCAGGCUGUCUCCACCCGAGACUCAGUGAAAUUGAACUCGCUGUGAAGAUGCAGUGUACCCGCGGCAAGACGGAAAGACCCCGUGAACCUUUACUAUAGCUUGACACUGAACAUUGAGCCUUGAUGUGUAGGAUAGGUGGGAGGCUUUGAAGUGUGGACGCCAGUCUGCAUGGAGCCGACCUUGAAAUACCACCCUUUAAUGUUUGAUGUUCUAACGUGGACCCGUAAUCCGGGUUGCGGACAGUGUCUGGUGGGUAGUUUGACUGGGGCGGUCUCCUCCUAAAGAGUAACGGAGGAGCACGAAGGUUGGCUAAUCCUGGUCGGACAUCAGGAGGUUAGUGCAAUGGCAUAAGCCAGCUUGACUGCGAGCGUGACGGCGCGAGCAGGUGCGAAAGCAGGUCAUAGUGAUCCGGUGGUUCUGAAUGGAAGGGCCAUCGCUCAACGGAUAAAAGGUACUCCGGGGAUAACAGGCUGAUACCGCCCAAGAGUUCAUAUCGACGGCGGUGUUUGGCACCUCGAUGUCGGCUCAUCACAUCCUGGGGCUGAAGUAGGUCCCAAGGGUAUGGCUGUUCGCCAUUUAAAGUGGUACGCGAGCUGGGUUUAGAACGUCGUGAGACAGUUCGGUCCCUAUCUGCCGUGGGCGCUGGAGAACUGAGGGGGGCUGCUCCUAGUACGAGAGGACCGGAGUGGACGCAUCACUGGUGUUCGGGUUGUCAUGCCAAUGGCACUGCCCGGUAGCUAAAUGCGGAAGAGAUAAGUGCUGAAAGCAUCUAAGCACGAAACUUGCCCCGA
rnacentral:rRNA from 1 species